AUACUUUUUUUCCCUAUAGUUUUUAAUUAUAAGUUAUUUCUUUCAGCAAUCCCUUCUCCUUUGGGCACAUUUGAAGUUAUUAGAUCCUUUUUCAUAACUGUGUUUUGUUUUUGAAUUAGUUGAACUUUUUACUGACCCCUCUCUCAAACAUGUAUCUAUUAAUCUAUACUUACUCAGGCUGGUAAAUGCGAGGAAUUAGCCCCCGAAGGUUAUUUUGACAUUGCCAAAACUGACAUACACCUUCAUCUUGGGACUUAUUGAUUUCAGAUUUUCUGUAGGUUUAGUGACAUAUGUAUUGCCUACAUCCUUCUAUUAUGCGGUCUUACUACACUGACUGAUUUUUCUUAUUCCUAUUUUGUUCUUUGUGCAUUAAAUAGGAUUUUGGCAAGAUGCUUAGCAUCAUAGAUUACUAACCAGUCAGUCUUUGUGGAUUAUAGGCGAUUCAUCACCUUUAUGUGUUUUGUCAACUUUAUUAUCUUGAUGGGUGUUGAACAAGUUGUAUUAUUCGUCCAUCGCUCUUUUACAUCUCUAUUUGAGGAUUCAUGCGGCAUUGAUGCCCUUCUACAUUGAAUGUUUUAGCAGAUGUGAUGAUAUGCUUUCCUUUUCUUAAUUUUAAGGUAUUACUAAAAUUUUACUGAAUUGAUCAGUUGCUUCUUUUUGUAUAUACAAAUUUGAGAAUUCACCCGUUUCUUCAAUUUCAAGAAUUUGCGUUUUAGUUUUGAGAAUUUGUCUAUUAAUUCUACUUUUUUGCCUUGCAGUAUUAAAAAUGAAAAACCACAUUGCAUGAAUUGUUAGCUUUUAUGGAAUUUUCUUAAAGUCUAUAGAUAUACUGUAUAUAUACAAAGCAGAGACAAAGCCCUGCUUAGGUGGCAUAUCUUAGAGGUCAGGGUUCUUAAUAAGAUGGUACAUAAUUUCUAUAAAAUCGAGUAAAACUUUGCUCCUACAAAUCUGUUUUUACUCUCUUACUCUAUUGAAAUUGAAUAUCCAUCUUCAUCGAACUGACGUCUCGGAUGCUCACUGGAUAUGUGCCAAAUGCCGAAUACAGCCAGCAUCUCUAUUUCCUUCGAUGGCUGCCAAAUGCCCUCGGGCCGAUUACGGUAUGUAUACCUACUCCCGUGCUCUUUUUGACGUGAUUAAUUUUGGUUAACUCAUUCUAAAUUGUUGUUCUCUUCUGACCUAGCAAAAUCUAGGUAUUUUCUUUUACCUACUCCCGAGGGUGUGUUCUUUUACCUCAGUAGACAACUUAUUUUUGUGCUUUCAGGGGAGAUAUUACGGAGAAAAGAACGAUCUUUUAAAGAAUGUCUAGAGAAGUAAGCGGAGCAAGCCUGUUAUCAAUCCCGCUCUUCCACGGAAUAGGUAAACUGGUCGAAUGGGUGAUAAAAUGUUUCUUGCGUGAUCCUAGGAUUCCACGCAAGAAAACACCAAAAUCCUUGAUGAAUAGUUUGUAAACACUAUUGAAGAAUGCUUGGCUUAAUAUGGUGCAGGACUAUGGGAGAAGUUUUGUGGAGCCUGGAAUACGCAUUGAAGCUUCAGGAAAAACAUGAAAAAACAAUACUAGAGAAUGAUAUCUCGAACAAUAAGUUGGAUAACAAUGUGUUAAGUACCAAAUACAUCAUGGGGAGUGUGGCUGAACUUGCUGGUGUUUCAAUGAGUAAAGUUUUUUGCCAAAUGGUGAAAACUGAAAACAAAGACUUAUGUGACAUGUUAGACUGUGCCUCUUGGUUGUAUAUUUGUCUUCUUUGCUUUAGAUUAACGAAUAAAUGUUACAAUCCAGUAAAAUUUAUAGAAGAUACGUAAGACUUUAGAAGUUCUUGAGAUAUAUUGAUAACGUCAAAUUUUGUAAUUUAGAAUGUUCUUAAUAUCUUUAGUUU